GGGGCUGUAGCUCAAUUGGUAGAGCGCCGCUCUUGCAAGGCGGAGGUCAGGGGUUCGAUUCCCCUCAGCUCCA
rnacentral:tRNA from 2 species